CCUACGGGAGGCAGCAGUAGGGAAUAUUGCUCAAUGGGGGAAACCCUGAAGCAGCAACGCCGCGUGGAGGAUGAAGGUUUUAGGAUUGUAAACUCCUUUUGUGAGAGAAGAGAAUGACGGUAUGUGACGAAUAAGCACCGGCUAACUCCGUUCAAGCAGCCGCGGUAAUACGGAGGGUGCAAGCGUUACCCGGAAUAACUGGGCGUAAAGAGUGCGCAGGCGGGUUUGUAAGUCAGAUGUGAAAUUCUUUAGGUUAACUACAGAAUUGCAUGUGAAACUAUGUGUCUUGAGUGUGUGAGAGGUAGGUGGAAUUCGUGGUGUAGAGGUUAAAUCCGUAGAUAUCAAGAGGAAUACUCAUUGCGAAGGCGACCUACUAGAACAUUACUGACGCUCAUGCACGAAAGCGUGGGGAGCAAACAGGAUUAGAUACCCUUGUAGUC
rnacentral:rRNA from 1 species